AUUGAACGCUGGCGGCAGGCCUAACACAUGCAAGUCGAGCGGAGCGGCGGACGGGUAAUUAAUUCCUAGGACUCUGCCUGUGAGUCGGGGAUAACGUCCGGCAACGGUCGCUAAUACCGCAUCCUAUCAGCUCAGCCUAGGGCGGAUUAGCUAGUUGGUGGGGUCAAGGCAUCACCAGGCGACGAUCCGUAACUGGUCUGAGAGGUUGAUCAAUCACACUGGAACUGAGAAGCGGUCCAGACUACUACGGGGGGCAGCAGUGGGGAAGAUUGGACAAUGGGCGAAAGCCUGAUCCAGCCAUGCCGCGUGUGUGAAGAAGGUUUUCGGAUUGUAAAGCCCUGUAAGUUGGGAGGCGUUAUCAACAGAAUAAGCACCGGCUAACUUCGUGCCAGCCGCCGCGGUAAUAC
rnacentral:rRNA from 1 species